rnacentral:rRNA from 1 species
UCCCUUGAGUUCCAAAACUAUGUGCUCAUUUGGUGGGAACAAGUCAUUGAGCGCCGAGAGGCAAGAGGUGAACCACCCAUCACUACUUGGGCGCAAAUGAAGGAUGUCAUGAGAGCAUGCUUUGUACCUACCUACUACAACCGCGAUCUCUUCAAGAAACUCCAACAACUCAAGCAAGGAACCAAGAGCGUUGAAGAGUACUACAAGGAGAUGGAGAUUGCCAUGAUAAGAGCCAAUGUCACAGAAGAUGAUGAGCAAACAAUGGCACGUUUCUUGAAUGGACUCAAUCAUCCUAUCAAGAAGAUCGCCGACUUCCAACCAUACUCAAAUCUC